ensembl:lncRNA
GGGGGUCUUUAAGGGUGGGGGGUCCCCAAUUUGGAGGGGGUCCCCAAUAUGGGGGGGGUCGGUUUAAGGGUAGGGGGUCCCCAAUUCGAUUUGGGGGGGGUACCCAAUAAGGGGGGGGUCCCCAAUACGGGGGGGGUCGGUUUAAGGGUGGGGGGGUCCCCAAUAUGGGGGGGGGUCUUUAAGGGUGGGGGGGUCCCCAAUUUGGGGGGGUCCCAAAAGGGGGGGGGGUUUAUAAGGGUAGGGAGUCCCCAAUUUGGGGGGGGUCCCCGAUUUGGGGGGGGUCCCCGAUUUGGGGGGGGUCGCAGCGCUCCUCACGGUCCCUCGCUGAAUCGGGAGCCCCCCCCGGGCCGGGGCCGAACCGCAGCCUGUGGGGCACACACAGCAUAUGGGGCGGCCGCCCCACAGAGCCCAAUGCGACCCCAUAGGCAACAUUGGGCCCCAUAGAAAACAAUGGGACCCCAUUGACCCCAUAGAAACCAAUGGGAUCCCAUAGACAGCAAUGGGAACCCAUAGAAACCAAUGGGACCCCAUAGGCAACAACGGGGCCCCACUGACCCCAUAGAAACCAAUGGGAUCCCAUAGGCAACAUUGGACCCCAUAGGCAACAACGGGGCCCCAUUGACCCCAUAGAAACCAAUGGGAUCCCAUAGGCAACAUUGGACCCCAUAGGCAACAACGGGGCCCCAUUGACCCCAUAGAAACCAAUGGGAUCCCAUAGGCAGCAAUGGGAACCCAUAGACAGCAAUGGGACCCCAUAGAAACCAAUGGGAUCCCAUAGGCAACAAUGGGAACCCAUAGAAACCAAUGGGACCCCAUAGGCAACAAUGGGACCCCAUAGGCAACAAUGGGACCCCAUAGAAACCAAUGGGACCCCAUAGAAACCAAUGGGACCCCAUAGACAGCAAUGGGACCCCAUAGAAACCAAUGGGACCCCAUAGACAGCAAUGGGACCCCA